CGCGUAGGCGGUUACAUAAGUUGGAGGUGAAAUCCCCGGGCUCAACCUGGGAACUGCUUUCAAAACUGUGUGACUUGAGUACAGCAGAGGAUAGUGGAAUUUCUAGUGUAGCGGUGAAAUGCGUAGAUAUUAGAAGGAACACCAGUGGCGAAGGCGACUGUCUGGGCUGAUACUGACGCUGAGGUGCGAAAGCGUGGGGAGCAAACA
rnacentral:rRNA from 1 species